UCCGCCAGGAUAGUAUUUAUAGUUCUUC
rnacentral:sRNA from 1 species